rnacentral:rRNA from 1 species
UACGUAGGGUGCAAGCGUUGUCCGGAAUUAUUGGGCGUAAAGCGCAUGUAGGCGGAUCCAUAAGUCGGGCGUGAAAUCCCCAGGCUCAACCUGGGAACUGCGCUCGAAACUGUGGGUCUCGAGUGUCGGAGAGGAUGGCGGAAUUCCUGGUGUAGAGGUGAAAUUCGUAGAUAUCUGGAGGAAUACCGGUGGCGAAGGCGGCAUCCUGGACCGGCAUUGACGCUGAUACAGCGAAAGCUAGGGGAGCAAACGGG